AUUCUGUUUGAUCCUGGCAGAUGCUACUGCUAUUGGGAUUCGAUUAAGCCAUGCAAGUCGAACGAGUUUAGGCUCGUGGCGUACGGCUCAGUAACACGUGGAUAACCUACCCUUAGGACUGGGAUAACUUUGGGAAACUGAGGAUAAUACUGGAUAGGCAAUUUUUCCUGUAAUGGUUUUUUGUUUAAAUGUUUUUUCGCCUAAGGAUGGGUCUGCGGCCGAUU
rnacentral:rRNA from 1 species